UACAGAGACUGCAAGCGUUAUUCGGAUUCACUGGGCGUAAAGGGUGCGUAGGCGGUUUGGUAAGUCUUAUGUGAAAUCUACAGGCUCAACUUGUAGUCUGCAUGAGAAACUGCCGGGCUUGAGUGUGGGAGAGGUGAGUGGAAUUCCUGGUGUAGCGGUGAAAUGCGUAGAUAUCAGGAGGAACACCUGUGGCGAAAGCGGCUCACUGGACCAUAACUGACGCUGAUGCACGAAAGCUAGGGGGAGCAAACAGG
rnacentral:rRNA from 1 species